AAGUCGUAACAAGGUUUCCGUAGGUGAACCUGCGGAAGGAUCAUUAAUGAAUAUUAGGGUGCUCUCUUCAUCAGAGAGGCCCGAACCCUUCAUUCUUCUACACUGUGCACUAUUAUCAGAAGGUCUUGAUGGCUUAAUUGCCGGAUGGCUUUCUUCAUUUUAAAACUCUACAGGUCAAAGAAUGAAUAUAAAUCAUAACAAAAGAAAAA
rnacentral:misc_RNA from 1 species